rnacentral:rRNA from 1 species
GACGAACGCUGGCGGCGUGCUUAACACAUGCAAGUGGAGCGACGAACCAGGGCUUGCCCUGGGGCAAAGCCGCGAACGGGUGAGUAACACGUGGGUAACCUGCCCCGAUGACCGGGACAACCCGAGGAAACUCGGGCUAAUACCGGAUGUGGAACCCUCACGUAAGUGAGGUUUCUAAAGGUAGCUUCGGCUUCCGCAUUGGGAGGGGCCCGCGGCCCAUUAGCUUGUUGGUGAGGUAACGGCUUACCAAGGCUUCGAUGGGUAGCUGGUCUGGGAGGACGAUCAGCCACACGGGGACUGAGACACGGCCCAGACUCCUACGGGAGGCAGCAGUGGGGAAUCUUGCGCAAUGCGCGAAAGCGUGACGCAGCAACGCCGCGUGGGGGAAGAAGGCCUUCGGGUUGUAAACCCCUUUCAGGAGGGACGAAGGUCACACGGUUAAUAGCCGGCGUGGCUGACGGUACCUCCAGAAGAAGCCCCGGCUAACUACGUGCCAGCCGCCGCGGUAAUAC